rnacentral:rRNA from 1 species
UACGAAGGGAGCUAGCGUUGUUCGGAAUUACUGGGCGUAAAGGGCGCGUAGGCGGCUAUGUAAGUCAGAUGUGAAAGCCCCGGGCUUAACCUGGGAACUGCAUUUGAUACUGCAAGGCUAGAGAUCGAGAGAGGAAAGUGGAAUUACGAGUGUAGAAGUGAAAUUCGUAGAUAUUCGUAGGAACACCAGUGGCGAAGGCGACUUUCUGGCUCGAUACUGACGCUAAAGCGCGAAAGCGUGGGGAGCAAACAGG